AAAAAAUAGAUAUAUUUAAUUCAGCUACAAAACACAAAUUAAUUACAUCUGAACCAUGGGCAAAACGAUCCAGAAUCCCAAACUAUGGGAGUGGAUGGAUUAGAAUGGUAAUUCUAAUCAAAUUGCUUAAAAUUGUCCGCUGGGUCAAAAGGAUAAAGACUCCUAAAAUUGCUACUGCUUUUUAUUGUAUUUUAUUAAACUUUAUGGAAGUUCCAUUUCUC